rnacentral:rRNA from 1 species
GACGAACGCUGGCGGCGUGCUUAACACAUGCAAGUCAAACGAAGAGCGAUGGAAGCUUGCUUCUAUCAAUCUUAGUGGCGAACGGGUGAGUAACGCGUAAUCAACCUGCCCUUCAGAGGGGGACAACAGUUGGAAACGACUGCUAAUACCGCAUACGAUCUAACCUCGGCAUCGAGGAAAGAUGAAAGGUGGCCUCUAUGUAUAAGCUAUCACUGAAGGAGGGGAUUGCGUCUGAUUAGCUAGUUGGAGGGGUAACGGCCCACCAAGGCGAUGAUCAGUAGCCGGUCUGAGAGGAUGAACGGCCACAUUGGGACUGAGACACGGCCCAGACUCCUACGGGAGGCAGCAGUGGGGAAUCUUCCGCAAUGGACGAAAGUCUGACGGAGCAACGCCGCGUGAGUGAUGACGGCCUUCGGGUUGUAAAGCUCUGUUAAUCGGGACGAAAGGCCUUCUUGCGAAUAGUGAGAAGGAUUGACGGUACCGGAAGAGAAAGCCACGGCUAACUACGUG